CGGCACAUCUGGUUCAGGGUUGUU
rnacentral:rRNA from 1 species